GACCUAAUGGUGAAGCGGGUAAUAUAUCGCGUCCACGUUUCCUGACGCACAUGACGAUAGCUUUUCGGUGGAAGUCCCUGGUUCGACUCCAGGUUAGGUCA